CUCGGCAAGCUCCGUCCCACAGGGUCCUCCCGGCCUCUCUCCCUGCCUGGCCAGCCUUGGCGUCAGCCUCCUGAAAAUCUCACAAACUCAGAGCCUAAAACAACACAGACAUCUCACAUCAAGGCUCUGGAAGUUAGAAUCCGAAUCGCGUCUCCUUGGGCUAAUGCCAAGGUCCUGGUUCGUCCCAGGGGUCCCAGGGAGUCUGUCCUCGUGCCUUCUCCUCCGGCGUCUGGGGCCACCCCACGCAGGGCCCCCGCGCCUUCCUCCACCUUCCAACCCAGCAGCCUCCCCGGAUCUCUGACUCUCGCGGGCCUUCUCUGCGGGGCCCCUCUGACUCUCGGCCUCCCCUGCACGGACGCUGUGGUUGUGCCAAGCUGCCUGGUAUCGGGAGAAUCUCCCAGCUCACGCUCUUUGACUUGUCACCACCACAAAAUCCCUUUCCCAGGAACGUCGGACAAAGCUCGUGACAUUUGGGCGGGAAUCAUCUGUGAACCGCGAGCUUCUCUUGGGCCAGGACCCGGAACCAAGGGCGAGAAGUCUGGAACGUUCCAUGCUGGGGGGAGAGAACGACAUUCGGCCGAGCUGACGACGAGGCCGGUCGCAGGAGCCUGAGCGCAGGAGAAACGUGGCCAGAAACAGCAGCCGACAGCGAGGAAAAAAUGAGAAUCAGCGUGAAGCAAAGCCUUGCUGGGCAGGAGCGGUCUGCAGCCCAGCGGCGCAGGAGCAAGUUCUGAAUAAUUUAACGCCCGGGAGCAUCUCGGGGUCACAGCCAGCCAAGGUCUCUAAUGACGACCUUGGGUGGGAAAGAAGGUGAGCUGUGCUUCCGGCGAUCCGUUUAGGGUGACGGGGAAGUGAGUAAUCGGAUUUAGACACCACUGAAAGAGAUUACAAUAAUGAAAGGUCUCGGGCGGUGUUAGAGAGGGGAACUCACGCGUGCGGAGAGGGUGGGGGUGGGUGGUCGGGGACGGAGGGUGCUCGGCCUCCUGCGGCCACCUGUGCUUGCAAACCCGCCUCUGGGGGGCACGACCCUGGAAGCAGUGACCCCGAGCUGGGGGUCCCAGGGCCUGGCACCAGAGUCCUGGUCCUGCCAGAGCCCGGCUUCGUGACUACGGGCAAGACUCGGUCUUUCUGAGCCCCGGUUUCCUCAGUUAUACAAAUACAGGCAAUAUCCCUUUGUCUGCCGCUUCCUGAGCUUAUUGGUGACUCUAAUGAAGUAUUGUCCAUGAAUGCCUUUUGCUCGCCGUAAAUUGCCUUGCAAAGGUGAAGAACGCGUAUGACUGCACAGAAAAAUGGCACUGCAUGUCCCCCAGGCUGCAGGGGGACAAGUGGGGGGACAAGUCCCUGCAGCGUGAGGGCUGGGGAGGGCAAGUGGGCUGACUGCACAUGGUCACCCUCCGUGACCGUGACCCUGCCCUGCCAAGACCCUGUAUAGAGCACGCAUAAUUAACCCUGCGUUCCACGGCCCGUCCCCUCGGUGGAGCAUGGGGCAUUAUCACGACAGAUUGCGAGAUUCUGCUGAUGUGAGAAUGCAGAGUCCCUAACUAGGUGGUGUCACUCUGCGUAGCUACCUGAGAGUGAGUGGAGACGUUCGUCUUGGUGAACAAUAUUUUCCUGGUUAGAGCUGGAACCCAUACUACUAAGUGAAGUAUCCCAAGAAUGGAAAGACAAGCACCACAUGGACUCACCAGCAAACUGGUAUUAACUGAGCAGCACCUAAGUGGACACAUAGGUACUGCAGUAAUAGGGUGUUGG
ensembl:lincRNA